CGGGGUGAGUAAUGUCUGGGAAACUGCCUGAUGGAGGGGGAUAACUACUGGAAACGGUAGCUAAUGCCGCAUAACGUCGCAAGACCAAAGAGGGGGACCUUCGGGCCUCUUGCCAUCGGAUGUGCCCAGAUGGGAUUAGCUAGUAGGUGGGGUAACGGCUCACCUAGGCGACGAUCCCUAGCUGGUCUGAGAGGAUGACCAGCCACACUGGAACUGAGACACGGUCCAG
rnacentral:rRNA from 1 species